UAUUGUGUCUUGUUUAUAUUUUAAUGUUAUUAUUUAUGCAAACUUUGUUUUGGAUUGUUGCUCCACUUUGCUUUAUGUCCUGAAUGUUACUUAUUAUUGUAUUAGGGACUAUUUUCUUGUGCGUAGCAUUGGUUUCUUUGUUCGUAGUAUUGGUUUCUUUGUUCGUGAAUGUGGUGUGUCGACAGGGAGGGACAUUCUGCUGGAAUGUCGAGGCCUGUGUGUUGAAGAGUUUCUGUGUCACGUUUAUGUGGUGUAUGGACGGUGGUCCGAAAUUGGGUGUUUUGUUCCGUUGAGUUCUGUUUCUGUUUUGUAUGUCUCCAGUGUUCUGUUUUACCUAAAUUCUAGUUUGUUUAUAAGCUUGGUUCCAUAUUUAUUUUGUUAAAUAAAUUUUAUUAUAUUG